rnacentral:rRNA from 1 species
UACGUAGGGGGCAAGCGUUAUCCGGAUUUACUGGGUGUAAAGGGAGCGUAGACGGUGAGGCAAGUCUGAAGUGAAAUGCGGGGGCUCAACCCCUGAACUGCUUUGGAAACUGUUUUACUAGAGUGCAGGAGAGGUAAGUGGAAUUCCUAGUGUAGCGGUGAAAUGCGUAGAUAUUAGGAGGAACACCAGUGGCGAAGGCGGCUUACUGGACUGUAACUGACGUUGAGGCUCGAAAGCGUGGGGAGCAAAC